rnacentral:tRNA from 1 species
UGUAGCUCAACAGUAGAGCACUUGCUUAGUAUGCACAUGGCUCUGGGUUUAAACCCCAGCA